rnacentral:rRNA from 1 species
CAGCUCCUACGGGACGCAGCAGUGGGGGAUAUUGCACAAUGGGGGAAACCCUGAUGCAGCGACGCCGCGUGUGGGAAGACGGUCCUCUGGAUUGUAAACCACUGUCCCCAGGGACGAAGAUGACGGUACCUGGGGAGGAAGCUCCGGCUAACUACGUGCCAGCAGCCGCGGUAAUACGUAGGGAGCGAGCGUUGUCCGGAAUUACUGGGUGUAAGGGAGCGUAGGCGGGGAUGCAAGUUGGUUGUCAAAACUACCGGCUCAACUGGUAGUCGCACUCAAAACUGCAGCUCUUGAGCGCAGUACAG